AACGAACGCUGGCGGCAGGCUUAACACAUGCAAGUCGAACGCCCCGCAAGGGGAGUGGCAGACGGGUGAGUAACGCGUGGGAAUCUACCCAUCUCUACGGAACAACAGUUGGAAACGACUGCUAAUACCGUAUACGCCCUACGGGGGAAAGAUUUAUCGGAGAUGGAUGAGCCCGCGUUGGAUUAGCUAGUUGGUGGGGUAAAGGCCUACCAAGGCGACGAUCCAUAGCUGGUCUGAGAGGAUGAUCAGCCACACUGGGACUGAGACACGGCCCAGACUCCUACGGGAGGCAGCAGUGGGGAAUAUUGGACAAUGGGCGCAAGCCUGAUCCAGCCAUGCCGCGUGAGUGAUGAAGGCCCUAGGGUUGUAAAGCUCUUUCACCGGUGAAGAUAAUGACGGUAACCGGAGAAGAAGCCCCGGCUAACUUCGUGCCAGCAGCCGCGGUAGUACGAAGGGGGCUAGCGUUGUUCGGAAUUACUGGGCGUAAAGCGCACGUAGGCGGAUCGUUAAGUGAGGGGUGAAAUCCCAGGGCUCAACCCUGGAACUGCCUUUCAUACUGGCGAUC
rnacentral:rRNA from 1 species